UCAAGGUCAAACUAGAAUGUGGAGGUUGUCUAAUGAAAGGCUGAGCCAAUGACAAAUGCCCUGAAAAUAGAAGAGGAUUCUAAUCUCAGUGGUAAAGGCUUAGAACACAAGAUCUUACAAAAUCAAUCUGUUGUGACAACUCACCACUUAGCUCCAACUGGUGGCAUUGUUCAAAACAUUUGGGUGAUAUUUUUAAAUCAAGAUUUAACUACAACAAAAGACUUAACUUUUCCUAGAGAGACUUCUAGAAGCAACACUGAGGGCCAAACCCACGGAGGAGCACAGAAGGAAACGAGCACACGGACAACGUCAGGGGCAGAGAGAUGUGACUUACCUGGUUCCGUGGUCCACCGUGGAGACAGAACUAAAGACCGCCGCUCAGCAUCACCUGGGAGCUUGUUAGAUGUGCAGAAUAUCAACCGCCUCCACACACCUGCUGAACCAAUCUUCAUUUUACCAAGUUUGAGAAGCACCAGUGUGAACCAUAAAAGCAGCAGACUUCAAAUUGUGUUCUGCGAGCUGGUUAAAAAAACAACACACACAACAGUAUUAUUA